rnacentral:rRNA from 1 species
UACGUAGGGGGCAAGCGUUGUCCGGAAUUACUGGGCGUAAAGAGUGUGUAGGCGGUGCUCUAAGUUCGGUGUGAAAUCUCCCGCUUAACUGGGAGGGUGCGCCGGAAACUGGAGUGCUCGAGCGUGGGAGAGGAAAGCGGAAUUCCUGGUGUAGCGGUGAAAUGCGUAGAUAUCAGGAGGAACACCUGCGGUGUAGACGGCUUUCUGGACCAUUGCUGACGCUGAGACACGAAAGCGUGGGUAGCAAACAGG